ACAGCAGUAGCCGCGGUAAAACAGAGGGUGCGAGCGUUAAUCGGAUUUACUGGGCGUAAAGCGUGCGUAGGCGGCUUUUUAAGUCGGAUGUGAAAUCCCUGAGCUUAACUUAGGAAUUGCAUUCGAUACUGGGAAGCUAGAGUAUGGGAGAGGAUGGUAGAAUUCCAGGUGUAGCGGUGAAAUGCGUAGAGAUCUGGAGGAAUACCGAUGGCGAAGGCAGCCAUCUGGCCUAAUACUGACGCUGAGGUACGAAAGCAUGGGGAGCAAACAGGAUUAGAUACCCCCGUAGUCCCUGUCUCUUAUAC
rnacentral:rRNA from 1 species